UACAUGGGGUGCAAACGUUGCUCGGAAUUAUUGGGCGUAAAGGGCUCGUAGGCGGUUUGUCGCGUCGGGAGUGAAAACGCCGUGCUUAACACGGCGCUUGCUUUCGAUACGGGCAGACUAGAGGUAUGCAGGGGAGAACGGAAUUCCUGGUGUAGCGGUGAAAUGCGCAGAUAUCAGGAGGAACACCGGUGGCGAAGGCGGUUCUCUGGGCAUUACCUGACGCUGAGGAGCGAAAGUGUGGGGAGCGAACAGG
rnacentral:rRNA from 1 species